UACGUAGGGUGCAAGCGUUGUCCGGAAUUAUUGGGCGUAAAGAGCUCGUAGGCGGUUUGUCGCGUCUGCUGUGAAAACCCGAGGCUCAACCUCGGGCCUGCAGUGGGUACGGGCAAACUAGAGGUAGGUAGGGGAGAAUGGAAUUCCCGGUGUAGCGGUGAAAUGCGCAGAUAUCGGGAAGAACACCCGUGGCGAAGGCGGUUCUCUGGGACGGUACUGGACGCUGAGACGCGAAAGCGUGGGGAGCAAACAGG
rnacentral:rRNA from 1 species